UACACAUGCAGUCGCACGAGAACGCUUCAGCUUGCUGAAGCUAGUAAAGUGGCGCACGGGUGAUUAACGCGUGGGUAAUCUACCUCCAAAUUGGGGAUAACAUUGCGAAAGCGAUGCUAAUACCGAAUGAUAUCUCAAAAACUUCGGUUUUUGAGAUCAAAGGUGGCCGCUCCAUGGAAGCUACUGUUUGGAGAUGAGCCCGCGUACCAUUAGCUUGUUGGUAGGGUAAUGGCCUACCAAGGCAACGAUGGUUAGCUGGUCUGAGAGGAUGAUCAGCCACACUGGAACUGACACACGGUCCAGACUCCUACGGGAGGCAGCAGUGAGGAAUUUUGCGCAAUGGGGGAAACCCUGACGCAGCAACGCCGCGUGAGUGAUGAAGGCCUUCGGGUCGUAAAGCUCUGUCAAGUGGGAAGAACCUGCCCUGUGCUAAUAUCACCGGGCACUGACGGUACCACUGAAAGAAGCACCGGCUAACUCCGUGCCAGCAGCCGCGGUAAUACGGAGGGUGCAAGCGUUAAUCGGAAUUACUGGGCGUAAAGCGCGCGUAGGCGGUUUGUUAAGUCAGAUGUGAAAGCCCCGGGCUCAACCUGGGAAUUGCAUUUGAUACUGGCAGGCUAGAGUAUGGUAGAGGGAAGUGGAAUUCCGGGUGUAGCGGUGAAAUGCGUAGAUAUCCGGAGGAACACCAGUGGCGAAGCGGCUUCCUGGACCAAUACUGACGCUGAGGUGCGAAAGCGUGCAGCAAACAGGAUUAGAUACUCCUGGUAGUCCACGCCGUAACGAUGUCACUAGCCGUUGGGCUCAUUAUAAGGGUUUAGUGGCGCAGCUAACGCGAUAAGUUACACAUGCAUACACAUGCAGGCCGCAA
rnacentral:rRNA from 1 species